UGCUCUUGUAAGUGGGCCUAAGGGUUGGCCCAAUGUAUAUAGACCCUUAGUGUUGCCCUAAUCCCAUCUCACACUCACACUUUCAGAAAACCAGCCGUCAACCCUUUCUCCCUCUCACGAAAAGCUCUACUAGGGUUAGGUUGUGCCAUCUUCAAGCUAGCUCGAAGCUAUUCCCUACUCCAUCCCUGUAGCGCAUCCUUGGAGCUGCCGAGCUCGUGGCCACGUAGUAGAGGUCUUCGCUAAGCUUUUCCAGAUGGGCGAAGUUCUCGUGGUCAGCAGGGAAACGGUGAUCCAGCAGCUUAGCCAUCUGGGCUAGACCUCACGCUUCUUCUUUUCAUGUUUUCCUUAGGGCUAUGGCCCCUGUAUUCGUAGUUGUUAGAUUGUAAACUCUUAAGUAAACGAUUAUCCUGUUUUUA